rnacentral:lncRNA from 1 species
GAAUUCUCUUUGAUAGCUUGAGUGCCCUUGAUUGUGGGCCCCUUGAGGUCGUUCAUAAGCUGUCGAGGGCCUUCCUAUAGAUAUUUGAAGCCCUUGCUGGCCCUGAACUUGCAUAAGGAACUCAUGCAUAACUGCGUUCUGUGCCGUAAUGUUCCUCAUGUUAGCAGCCAUUUGGGCUACUUCAGCAGUUAAUCUUACUACCAUUCCAUCGCCUUGGCGGCGAUGAUGGUAAGGUCUCUUGUACAUGACAUUUGCUCGGAGAACCUCUUCUUCAAAGGUUUCUCUCAUUUUCCUCGGAUUAACAUCCUCGUUGCUUGAACUCAUUGACUUUGAGCUCCACUCUAGCGACAAAUUUAAUCUGGAUUUUUCGGUGAUGAGCAAGUGAGAAAUACU